rnacentral:rRNA from 1 species
GACGUAGGGCGCGAGCGUUGUCCGGAUUUAUUGGGCGUAAAGAGCUCGUAGGCGGCUUGUCGCGUCGACUGUGAAAUCCCGCGGCUCAACUGCGGGUCUGCAGUCGAUACGGGCAGGCUAGAGUUCGGUAGGGGAGACUGGAAUUCCUGGUGUAGCGGUGAAAUGCGCAGAUAUCAGGAGGAACACCGGUGGCGAAGGCGGUUCUCUGGGCAUUACCUGACGCUGGAGGAGCGAAAGUGUGGGGAGCGAACAGG